rnacentral:rRNA from 1 species
AACGGAGGGGGCUAGCGUUGUUCGGAAUUACUGGGCGUAAAGCGCACGUAGGCGGCUUUGUAAGUUAGAGGUGAAAGCCCGGGGCUCAACUCCGGAAUUGCCUUUAAAACUGCAUCGCUAGAAUUGUGGAGAGGUAAGUGGAAUUCCGAGUGUAGAGGUGAAAUUCGUAGAUAUUCGGAAGAACACCAGUGGCGAAGGCGACUUACUGGACACAUAUUGACGCUGAGGUGCGAAAGCGUGGGGAGCAAACGGG